rnacentral:rRNA from 1 species
UACGAAGGGGGCUAGCGUUGCUCGGAAUCACUGGGCGUAAAGGGUGCGUAGGCGGGUCUUUAAGUCAGGGGUGAAAUCCUGGAGCUCAACUCCAGAACUGCCUUUGAUACUGAGGAUCUUGAGUUCGGGAGAGGUGAGUGGAACUGCGAGUGUAGAGGUGAAAUUCGUGAGAUAUUCGCAAGAACACCAGUGGCGAAGGCGGCUCACUGGCCCGAUACUGACGCUGAGGCACGAAAGCGUGGGGAGCAAACAGGG